ACCAUGGUACCAGAGGUGGUACCGUAGCCAAUCAGAUGAAUUCGAGGCGUGGUUAUUGCUAAUUGAAAACUAUUCCUCCAAAAUCUAUUCUACUAUUACAUGUUCCAAACUUAACCAGGGAUUAUCUGGUAAGAUUGCUCUUAUAAGC
rnacentral:snRNA from 1 species